rnacentral:lncRNA from 1 species
AAACGUAUAUUUCGGUUUUUCCAUUUCAUAGUAGUCUCGUGUAACAUUGAUAUAACACCCCAAUAAUAUCCGUGAACCAUGUACAGAGAUAUGUGAACGGUGUUUAAUGGGGAGACCAAACUGACGAGAAACUUGAAGUGGAAUACAAAGGCAGGGCCAUGAGCGAGGAAGAACUUUACAGUUAAGCCAUUGGACACUGAGAAAAUAGGAUAAGAGAAUGGAAAUGAACUUUUUGAGUAUUAUUUCUAACAUUAUCUCUAUUUUCACGAAAAUUAAGCGCACAUCAGCCCAAUAAGCAUGGAAUGCCAAAGGUAUAAGGCUUCGUGACGUGACUUCAAGGUUUGGGGGG